rnacentral:misc_RNA from 1 species
AGGGAAAUUUUGAAGAUUCCAAAAAAAUUCCAUAAUGUUCUCAUGUAUUAACAAAUGAAAAAGAGGAAAAAUAAAAAAUUGUGGAAUAUGUAUGGUUGCAUGUGUGUGAAAAAAAAUCUAAACAAGUGAAAAAAAUAACAAAGGGAGAAAGAGACACACACAACCUUUAGAAGACUGCAAUGUCAGAUGUGUAAACAUUUAAUUGUUGUUUCUAGCAAAUUCAAUGACAUAAUUCUUUGAUAGAAUGAGAAAAUGUUUACAUAGCAUAUCAGAUUAUAAAAGUCACAUUUUUAUACUGCAUGUACUUUGUACAACUUUGUUACUGUGUACUUUUUUGAAAAGCAUGACUCUUGUUUGUUUAAAAAAAAAACCAAACUAAAUAUCCAAAAUGUUGUAUUGCACUACAAUCUACAUGUAUAUUUGCAAAUAAGUUAUUGUACUAACAAAGUGGCAAUGAUAAUUAAAGUGUAAGCCUUUUUUUUAUUAAUCUUAGUCAUGAUUUUGUAGCGACUGUAUUCAGGAUUAGUCAUCUCAGUAAAUAAGUUAUAUCCUGUGCAUUAAAUUAUGGCUGCAUUAUAUGGGAUGUAUAUAAAAGCUUACAAAUUAAAAUGUAACACUUGCUUUUUGUUUUUGUGUACAUAUAAGGACAAUGUAAGAUCAAAACGUCCUAUUCUCCUGGUUCCGAUGUAUUUUCCAGUAAAAAGGGAAAUCCCUUGUAC